rnacentral:rRNA from 1 species
AGCAGCCGCGGUAAUUCCAGCUCCAAUAGCGUAUAUUAAAGUUGUUGCAGUUAAAAAGCCCGUAGUUGAAUUUCGAGACCGGCUUACUGGUCGUGCUAUUGUACGUACUGGUAUAAUCGGUUUCUCCUUUCUGACGAACUAUAAUGCCAUUAAUUUGGUGUUAUAGGGAAUCAGGACUGUUACUUUGAAAAAAUUUAGAGUGUUUAAAGCAGGCUCACGCUUGAAUACAUUAGCAUGGAAUAACGGAAUAGGACGUUUGAUUCUAUUUUGUUGGUUUCUAGGAUCGACGUAAUGAUUAAUAGGGAUAGUUGGGGGCAUUAGUAUUCAAUUGUCAGAGGUGAAAUUCUUGGAUUUAUUGAAGACUAACUACUGCGAAAGCAUUUGCCAAGGAUGUUUUCAUUAAUCAAGAACGAAAGUUAGGGGAUCGAAGACGAUCAGAUACCGUCGUAGUCUUAACCAUAAACUAUGCCGACUAGGGAUCGGAUGAUGUUAAUUUUUUAAUGACUCAUUCGGCGCCUUA